rnacentral:lncRNA from 1 species
AUGGGUUACCCAAGAAAGCAUGGUAAUGUAGCACUGCUAAGGGGCUCCAGCUUCUUCCUGCUCAUAGGAAAGCAAAAGAAGUACCCACAAUUCAUAGGGAUUCACUUGCAUGGUUCAGAUGGACACAUUCCACUCUGCAGACUGUCCGCCAGAGGAGCGUUUAAGUGUUAUUCACUAUGUACUAUUAGUGGUAAACAGGAUCAUGCAGAAGGUGUCCUAGCAUGGGAGUAACUUAUCUCUAGAAGGAAGAUGUAUAACCAGACCCAUCCUGCAACACAAACCCUAGCUGGUCGACAGAGAGGGUCAGUAUAAGCAGAGGUGGCAUUCAAGGGGAGGGACUUCUUUGACCUGAAUGCUGCCUCUGACCUGUCCGAGUCCUGUUCGUAGCAGCACUGCACAAGGUCUUCUGCAAGAAUUUGUAAGGCUGUGACCAAUUUGGUGUCCAUCUGUGCAUCAUUGGUGUGUGGCAGCACUGCUUGUGGCCUCAGCAGUGAUCUCCUGCAAAGUCUGUCCACAUGAAUUUAGAUGUCCCUGGGCUUGAAAAAUAACUGAGCUACUGUUGAUCCCACUACAAAGUUCUUUAAUGGCAAUUUUUCAGAGCAUGCUGAGUAGUUGCACAAGAGGAUCUACAGUAUGCCUGCCUGCCUGCCUGCCUGCUUUCCCUGUUACCCAUACAUUCUUUCAUCUCACCUUAAGCCUCUGUUUAUUUUGUUUGGAGCAGAAUACUUCCAUCUUAAACACUUACUGAAAAAUAAAAUAAAAUAAUAAAAUAAAAUGUUAGCUGGA